rnacentral:rRNA from 1 species
GAUGAACGCUGGCGGCGUGCCUAAUACAUGCAAGUCGAGCGAACGGACGAGAAGCUUGCUUCUCUGAUGUUAGCGGCGGACGGGUGAGUAACACGUGGAUAACCUACCUAUAAGACUGGGAUAACUUCGGGAAACCGGAGCUAAUACCGGAUAAUAUUUUGAACCGCAUGGUUCAAAAGUGAAAGACGGUCUUGCUGUCACUUAUAGAUGGAUCCGCGCUGUAUUAGCUAGUUGGUAAGGUAACGGCUUACCAAGGCAACGAUGCAUAGCCGACCUGAGAGGGUGAUCGGCCACACUGGAACUGAGACACGGUCCAGACUCCUACGGGAGGCAGCAGUAGGGAAUCUUCCGCAAAGGGCGAAAGCCUGACGGAGCAACGCCGCGUGAGUGAUGAAGGUCUUCGGAUCGUAAAACUCUGUUAUUAGGGAAGAACAUAUGUGUAAGUAACUGUGCACAUCUUGACGGUACCUAAUCAGAAAGCCACGGCUAACUACGUG